GCCCAGAUGGCGGAAUUGGUAGACGCGCUGGCUUCAGGUGCCAGUGAUCGAAAGGUCGUGGAGGUUCGAGUCCUCUUCUGGGCA
rnacentral:tRNA from 1 species